UGGCGACCAUAUCAGGUUGAAAACCGGUUCCCGUACGAUCUUUCAAGUUAAGCAACGUCGAACCUGGUCAGUAUCUAGAUGGGUUAUAGCUUGGGAUUACCAGGUGCUGUAAG
rnacentral:rRNA from 1 species